rnacentral:rRNA from 1 species
AUUGAACGCUGGCGGCAGGCCUAACACAUGCAAGUCGAACGAGUGGCGGACGGGUGAGUAAUGUCUGGGACACUGCCUGAUGGAGGGGGAAAACUACUGGAACCGGUAGCUAAUACCGCAUACCAUCAGAUGUGCCCAGAUGGGAGUAGCUUGUUGGGGGGGGAACGGCUCACCAAGGAGACGAUCCCUAGCUGGUCUGAGAGGAGGACCAGCCAAACUGGAACGGAGACAGGGUCCAGACUCCAACGGGAGGCGGAAGUGGGGAAUAGUGCACAGGGGGCGCAGUCCGGAUGCAGCCAUGCCGCGUGUAUGAAGAGGGCCUUCGGGUUGUAAAGUACUUUCAGCGGGGAGGCGUUAACCACAGAAGAAGCACCGGCUAACUCCGUGCCAGCAGCCGCGGUAAUAC